rnacentral:rRNA from 1 species
UGCAGGGCGCAGACUACACAUGCAAGUCGAGCGAGAUCUUCGGAUCUAGCGGCGGACGGGUGAGUAACGCGUGGGAACGUACCCUCUUCUGCGGGAUAGCCACUGGAAACGGUGAGUAAUACCGCAUACGCCCUUCGGGGGAAAGAUUUAUCGGAGGAGGAUCGGCCCGCGUUGGAUUAGGUAGUUGGUGGGGUAAUGGCCUACCAAGCCUACGAUCCAUAGCUGGUUUUAGAGGAUGAUCAGCCACACUGGGACUGAGACACGGCCCAGACUCCUACGGGAGGCAGCAGUGGGGAAUCUUAGACAAUGGGCGCAAGCCUGAUCUAGCCAUGCCGCGUGAGUGACGAAGGCCUUAGGGUCGUAAAGCUCUUUCGCCUGUGAUGAUAAUGACAGUAGCAGGUAAAGAAACCCCGGCUAACUCCGUGCCAGCAGCCGCGGUAAUACGGAGGGGGUUAGCGUUGUUCGGAAUUACUGGGCGUAAAGCGCACGUAGGCGGAUUGGAAAGUAUGGGGUGAAAUCCCAGGGCUCAACCCUGGAACGGCCUCAUAAACUUCCAGUCUGGAGUUCGAGAGAGGUGAGUGGAAUUCCGAGUGUAGAGGUGAAAUUCGUAGAUAUUCGGAGGAACACCAGUGGCGAAGGCGGCUCACUGGCUCGAUACUGACGCUGAGGUGCGAAAGUGUGGGGAGCAAACAGGAUUAGAUACCCUGGUA